GACAGCAUGGUGUAGUGGUUUGAGCACUGGACUAUGACUCUGGAGACCAGGGUUCAAAUCCCUACUCAGCCA